CCGCAGAGGGGGCCCAGCACACAGCUUCUCCUCCUCUCUUUCUUCUAAUAACUCUUGCGAGACCCGCGGAGCGUUGCCAUGGUAACCGGGUCUCGCAAAAAAUUUUAGAAGAAAGAAGAGAGGAGGAGAAGCUGUGUGCUGGGCCCCCUCUGCGG